UGGACAAUGGGGGAAACCCUGAUCCAGCCAUGCCGCGUGAGUGAUGAAGGCCUUAGGGUUGUAAAGCUCUUUCGCACGCGGCGAUCAUGACGGUAGCGUGAGAAGAAGCCCCGGCUAACUUCGUGCCAGCCGCCGCGGUAAUACGAAGGGGGCUAGCGUUUUUCGGAAUUACUGGGCGUAAAGCGCGCGCAGGCGGGUCAUCAAGUCAGAGGUGAAAGCCCGGAGCUUAACUCCGGAAUAGCCUUUGAAACUGUUGAUCUUGAGUACGGGGGAGGUGAGUGGAAUUCCCAGUGUAGAGGUGAAAUUCGUAGAUAUUGGGAAGAACAUCAGUGGCGAAGGCGGCUCACUGGCCCGUUACUGACGCUCAGGCGCGAUAGCGUGGGGAUCAAACA
rnacentral:rRNA from 1 species